UCUAUCAUGCUGAUGCAUAUCAAAAGAAACCCAGAGUAGACAUAUGUAUAUCAGAGAAACUAGAUUUUUAAACCACAGACUUUAACAAGAGAUGAAGAACACCAUUAUAUCAUAAUUAAGGAUAUAAUUAUGGGGUCUAUCCA